CAACAUUCUCUACGGAUUCUGCCACUACAGCAGUACAGACAUUGUCUACAUCAUUGACAUCUAUAUUGUCUACGACGGCCUCUACAGCAACAACGACCACCUCUACAGCAGCGUCAACAACAUUCUCUACGGAUUCUGCCAUUACAAAAGUCCCGAAAUUAUCUACAUCAGUAACAACUACAGAAGCAUCUACAUCCACGUUGUCUACGACCGCAACGUCUAAAGCAGUAUCUAUGGUAUCUACAAAAGCAACGAUGGCGUCUACAGAGGCACGAAUAAUGUCUACGCCAACGAUAUCUACGGCAACACCUAUGGUAUCUACAGCAUCAACAAUCUCAACAGUUGCACCGACCAUUUCUAUGACAACACCAGGGUCAUCUCUUACAACUGAAGCAAACACAAUUUAUCCAACUCAUAAACCAAUCAUAGAUGUUAAUAAUUAUGGAUUUAAAUUGUCUGUAAAAUGCAACGAAGACUUUGAUGUUAAACUCAUUGACAAGACAACUGAUUUAUACAAAUCAUACAAAGCAAACUUUACUGCAG